UACGUAGGGGGCAAGCGUUGUCCGGAUUUAUUGGGCGUAACGAGCGUGUAGGCGGCUUGGUAGGUCCGCUGUGAAAACUCGAGGCUCAACCUCGAGAUGUCGGCGGAAACCACUUGGCUAGAGUCCGGAAGAGGAGAGUGGAAUUCCUGGUGUAGCGGUGAAAUGCGCAGAUAUCAGGAAGAACACCUAUGGCGAAGGCAGCUCUCUGGGACGGUACUGACGCUGAGACGCGAAAGCGUGGGGAGCACACAGG
rnacentral:rRNA from 1 species